rnacentral:rRNA from 1 species
UACAGAGGUCUCAAGCGUUGUUCGGAUUUACUGGGCGUAAAGGGUGCGUAGGUGGCGAUGUAAGUUGAGUGUGAAAUCCUAGGGCUUAACCUUAGAACUGCACUCAAUACUGCGUUGCUAGAGGAUUGUAGAGGAGAAUGGAAUUCACGGUGUAGCAGUGAAAUGCGUAGAUAUCGAGAGGAACACCUGCGGCGAAGGCGGGUUGCUGGGCUGACACUGACGCUCAUGCACGAAAGCGUGGGGAGCAAACAGG